CACGUAGUUAGCCGUGGCUUUCUGAUUAGGUACCGUCAAGAUGUGCACAGUUACUUACACAUUUGUUCUUCCCUAAUAACAGAGUUUUACGAGCCGAAACCCUUCAUCACUCACGCGGCGUUGCUCCGUCAGGCUUUCGCCCAUUGCGGAAGAUUCCCUACUGCUGCCUCCCGUAGGAGUUUGGACCGUGUCUCAGUUCCAGUGUGGCCGAUCACCCUCUCAGGUCGGCUACGUAUCGUCGCCUUGGUAAGCCGUUACCUUACCAACUAGCUAAUACGGCGCGGGUCCAUCUAUAAGUGAUAGCAAAACCAUCUUUCACUUUAGAACCAUGCGGUUCUAAAUGUUAUCCGGUAUUAGCUCCGGUUUCCCGAAGUUAUCCCAGUCUUAUAGGUAGGUUACCCACGUGUUACUCACCCGUCCGCCGCUAACUUCAAAGGAGCAAGCUCCUUAUCUGUUCGCUCGACUUGCAUGUAUUAGGCACGCCGCCAGCGUUCAUCCUGAGCCAGGAUCAAACUCU
rnacentral:rRNA from 1 species